CGGCAGUGACCUGCAACUAUGGGAACGGUGGCUGCCAGCACACCUGCGAUGACACCGACCAGGGCCCCAAAUGUGGCUGCCACGUCAAGUUCCUGCUGCACUCCGACGGCGUGACCUGCAUCGGGGAGAGACACUUCCAGCAACACGUUAUCCUUGAGACGUUUUCUAAUGAAACGUGUGCCGUGAACAACGGAGGCUGCGACAGCAAGUGUCACGACGCGGCCACGG
rnacentral:lncRNA from 1 species